rnacentral:rRNA from 1 species
UACGUAGGUGGUUUAUUUAGUCAGAUGUGAAAGCCCCGGGCUUAACCUGGGAACUGCAUUUGAUACUGGUAAACUAGAGUAUGGUAGAGGGGGGUAGAAUUCCUAGUGUAGCGGUGAAAUGCGUAGAUAUUAGGAGGAAUACCAGUGGCGAAGGCGGCCCCCCUGGGCCUAUACUGACACUGAGGUACGAAAGCGUGGGUAGCGAACA